CAGCAUCCUACAUGGUGUCAUUUAUUUGCCCCAUUUCCUUUGAGAAUGAGAUGGUUCCUUUCUGGGGAAGAGCAAGAGAGGUGUUUCUGAGAUAUAUCCCAUAUUAGCAGGGCUCUUUUUGUUCCCAGUGUUGCCAAACUGAAUUUUUGGCUGUGUCAAGAUUGUUCUUGAACAGCUGUAGAAAGCUUGGAUCUACCAAAUGAGAUUGUGCAGCAGACACAGUUAAUUGCAGUUCACUUUUCACCCCUAUCAGUGAAGAUAAAGCUAGAAAUCUUCCCAACUUUCUAUCUUGGUGAAAACAAGUCUAAUGUGCUUGAGAAAAGGUAAAGUCUGGUAGAGGCUGUCUUGAUAGUUCAGCUGAGGCCCAUAAAUAUAUCCUUGUAUGUCACUGCAGGGACAGCCUGAUUACAAUACACUCAUUGUGCUUAGGGUCAUUUGGGUCACAUAGCUGCUCCUAAUUGUGCGUCAGUGUCCCAGAGAAAUUAGAGGAUUCCUCAUUACUUAAGCCACCUAAAACUGGAGAGAAAAUAAUUGGCAGGGAGGGAAACAUGCACAGCUUGAUAGGUCUGGGGAGUGAAUGAUGGGUGUAGUUGGGCACAACAAAGAGGUGCAGCUGGUGGACCGUGCAGGAAGACCUCUCUGGCCCAGGAGCAGAGAGCAUCUGUUGUAGGGCACUUUUAUCUGAGCAAAGGAUUUAUCAGUUCCUCACUCCAGAGAGCAGCACAUCUCUCUAAGUAACCAUGAGCUGCAGUCAGGUCCACAGCACGUAAAAGGUUGGUUCUCCGUAUCCUGGUGUACUGGGCUAGCCCCAUUUUGUGCUUGUCCAAACGAAAUGUUAGCAGACUGUCCUAUGGUCAUAUAAUGUAAGUCGCUGGUCAUAUCUUACUGGCAUUUUUCUUUUUCUAGUGACAAACUUCCCAAGGAAAAGUCUGAGCCAUUCUCAUGGGAUAAGCCUAGAGCAACUGUGGUUUCCACAAAUGGAAGUUGUUCUGAACACACAGAAGCCAACAAUGAAUUUUACCUACCAAAGUAAGUCUAAAGAAAAUUAGCAGUGUAAAAUGCACAUAUUUUUCUUGGUUUUAAGUGGAAAUGAUCUUUUCCUGAUGUAAUACUGCCCUAAAAAAUGUGUUCUAGGCACUUGUAUGCACUUUAAAAAGGAAAUGGACCUGAUCCACCAGCUGUGGUGGUGAUCUGUGAUCUUUCAGCUUCUUUCCUUGCACUAUCCUGAGAUGAUGGGAUGGUUUCUGCCCUUUGGAUCUGCUGCAAGAAAGUUGGGGAGCUAAGAAGAAAGUAGGA
rnacentral:lncRNA from 1 species